GAUGAACGCUAGCUACAGGCCUAACACAUGCAAGUCGAGGGGCAGCGGGAAGGAAGCUUGCUUUCUUCGCCGGCGACCGGCGCACGGGUGCGUAACGCGUAUCGAACCUACCCUUUACUCGGGAACAGCCUUGCGAAAGCAAGAUUAAUGCCCGAUGUUCCGCGUUUGCCGCAUGGCAAAUUCGGCAAAGAUUUAUUGGUAAAGGAUGGCGAUGCGUCCCAUUAGCUAGUUGGCGGGGUAACGGCCCACCAAGGCGACGAUGUCUAGGGGUUCUGAGAGGAAGGUCCCCCACAUUGGUACUGAGACACGGACCAAAACUCCUACGGGAGGCAGCAGUGAGGAAUAUUGGUCAAUGGGCGCGAGCCUGAACCAGCCAAGUCGCGUGAGGGAAGACGGCCCUACGGGUUGUAAACCUCUUUUGUCGGGGAAUAAAGUGGGUCACGUGUGACUUUUGCAUGUACCUUAUGAAUAAGGACCGGCUAAUUCCGUGCCAGCAGCUGCGGU
rnacentral:rRNA from 1 species